UACAGAGACUGCAAGCGUUUAUUCGGAUUCACUGGGCGUAAAGGGUGCGCAGGUGGCCAAGUGUGUUAGGCGUGAAAGCCCGGGGCUUAACCCCGGAAUUGCACCUAAAACUAACAUGGCUAGAGCAUUGGAGAGGGGAGCAGAAUUCACGGUGUAGCAGUGAAAUGCGUAGAUAUCGUGAGGAAUACCAGAGGCGAAGGCGGCUCCCUGGACAAUUGCUGACACUCAGGCACGAAAGCGUGGGGAGCAAAAGGGUAGU
rnacentral:rRNA from 1 species